rnacentral:rRNA from 1 species
CCCGCUGAACUUAAGCAUAUCAAUAAGCGGAGGAAAAGAAACCAACAGGGAUUGCCUUAGUAACGGCGAGUGAAGCGGCAACAGCUCAAAUUUGAAAUCUGGCCUCUUUCGGGGUCCGAGUUGUAAUUUGUAGAGGACGUUUUGGGUACCGCGCUGGUUUAAAUUUCUUGGAACAGAAUGUCAGAGAGGGUGAGAAUCCCGUCUUGGACCGGCGUAGGGCCCGUGUAAAACUCCUUCGACGAGUCGAGUUGUUUGGGAAUGCAGCUCAAAAUGGGUGGUAAAUUUCAUCUAAAGCUAAAUAUUGGCCAGAGACCGAUAGCGCACAAGUAGAGUGAUCGAAAGAUGAAAAGCACUUUGAAAAGAGAGUUAAACAGUAUGUGAAAUUGUUGAAAGGGAAGCGCUUGCAACCAGACUUGCGCGCGACGGUUCCCCCUUCCUUCUGGUUGGGCUACUCCGUCGUGUCCAGGCCAACAUCGGUUCUGGGGGUCGGUUAAAGGCUGGGGGAAUGUAUCUACCCUCCGGGCGUAGACUUAUAGCCCCGAGUGUCAUGCGGCCUCCCGGGACCGAGGAACGCGCUUCGGCUCGGAUGUUGGCGUAAUGGUUGUCAGCGACCCGUCUUGAAACACGG